rnacentral:tRNA from 1 species
AAGGGCUUAGGAUGAAUUAGACCAAGGGCCUUCAAAGCCCUUAGUGGAGGUGAAAACCCUCCAGCCUUUG